rnacentral:tRNA from 1 species
GCCGGCAUGGCGAAAUAGGUAGACGCAGUAGACUCAAAAUCUGCCGGUAGCAAUACCAUAUCGGUUCAAUUCCGAUUGCCGGUA